AUUCUGGAUGAAUUUUUCGUCGCCCUAAAGGAGAAAGUGGCUACAAUGGCUCCCAAUGAGAGACGCGCGUGUUUUGAUGGACGAGAUGCAAAUUUCACCUGGGCUAGAUUAUAACGCGUCCAUUGGCAGCAUCAUAGGGCAACCAACCAUUGGCCUGUCGAACCCAGCCUUGAAGGACGAUCUUGCAUCUCAUGCAUUGGUUUUCAUGCUUGGGGGCUUAACAAGCAGGUGGAAGCAAGCCGUUGUUUAUCAUUUCACAGGCUCGCCUUUCGAUGCUCAGCAAGUUAAGGAUUGCCUAUUUGAAGUUGUACGGCUUGC
rnacentral:lncRNA from 1 species